rnacentral:rRNA from 1 species
UACGAGUGCCCCGAGCGUUAUCCGGAAUUAUUGGGCGUAAAGGGUGUGUAGGCGGUUUUUUUAGUCUUGUGUUAAAGCUCCCGGCUUAACCGGGAAAGUGCAUGAGAUACGGCAAAACUAGAGGAUGCGAGAGGUAAGCGGAACUCAUAGUGUAGGGGUGAAAUCCGUUGAUAUUAUGGGGAACACCAAAAGCGAAGGCAGCAUACUGGCGCGCUCCUGACGUUGAGACACGAAAGCGUGGGUAGCGAAUGGG